UACGUAGGGCGCAAGCGUUGUCCGGAAUUAUUGGGCGUAAAGAGCUCGUAGGCGGCUUGUCGCGUCGACUGUGAAAACCCGCGGCUCAACUGCGGGCCUACAGUCGAUACGGGCAGGCUAGAGUUCGGUAGGGGAGACUGGAAUUCCUGGUGUAGCGGUGAAAUGCGCAGAUAUCAGGAGGAACACCAGUGGCGAAGGCGGCUCACUGGUCCGGUACUGACGCUGAGGUGCGAAAGCGUGGGGAGCAAACAGG
rnacentral:rRNA from 1 species